UACGUAGGGUGCAAGCGUUAAUCGGCAUUAUUGGGCGUAAAGGGUGCGUAGGCGGUUUGUUAAGACGGAUGUGAAAUCCCCGGGCUCAACCUGGGAAUGGCGAUGGAUACUGGGCAGCUAGAGUGUGUCAGAGGAUGGUGGAAUUCCCGGUGUAGCGGUGAAAUGCGUAGAGAUCGGGAGGAACAUCAGUGGCGAAGGCGGCCAUCUGGGACAACACUGACGCUGAAGCACGAAAGCGUGGGGAGCAAACAGG
rnacentral:rRNA from 1 species